ACGGAGGAUCCAAGCGUUAUCCGGAAUCAUUGGGUUUAAAGGGUCCGUAGGCGGGUUUAUAAGUCAGUGGUGAAAGCCCAUCGCUCAACGAUGGAACGGCCAUUGAUACUGUAGAUCUUGAAUUAUUAGGAAGUAACUAGAAUAUGUAGUGUAGCGGUGAAAUGCUUAGAGAUUACAUGGAAUACCAAUUGCGAAGGCAGGUUACUACUAAUGGAUUGACGCUGAUGGACGAAAGCGUGGGUAGCGAACAGGAUUAGAUACCCUGGUAGUCCACGCCGCAAACGAUGGAUACUAGCUGUUCGGAGCAAUCUGAGUGGCUAAGCGAAAGUGAUAAGUAUCCCACCUGGGGAGUACGUUCGCAAGAAUG
rnacentral:rRNA from 1 species